CAGCUCUGAGAUCAAACCCCUCACACCUGAGAGAACUGGAUCUGUCUGGGAAUAAACUCAGAGACUCAGGAGUGAAGUGUCUCUCUGCUGUACUGGAGAAUCCUGACUGUAAACUGGAGACACUGAGGUUGUGUGAUUGUGAUGUCUCAGAUGAAGGCUGUGCUGCUCUGACUUCAGCUCUGAGAUCAAACCCCUCACACCUGAGAGAACUGGAUCUGUCUAAGAAUAAAGUCAGAGACUCAGGAGUGAAGUGUCUCUCUGCUGUACUGGAGAAUCCUGACUGUAAACUGGAGACACUGAGGUUCCGUUAUUGUGAUGUCUCAGAUGAAGGCUGUACUGCUCUGACCUUCAGCUCUGAGAUCAAACCCCUCACACCUGAGAAAACUGGAUCUGUCUUGGAAUAAACUCAGAGACUCAGAAAAGGAGCAACUUAAACUAUAGGACUUGAGGCGAUUUACAAGUAUUUCAGAUAAACAUGGUGUGAAGAAUUUUCAUCUGAUGCAGAUUCCAGAGAAGAUGUUUUUAAUGAAAUGUGCUCGACUCACAGCGGCAUUUCGACAUUUUUUUCUCUCACUGGGAAAUAAUCUGAAUUAAAUGUAAUACAUUUCCACAAAGUGUAAGUGCAGACAGUGUGUCAGUGAUGUACAGAAUCAUUUCAUUUGUAAGAUAUAUUACAGAGAUUAAUAGAGUGAAAGGGGGAUUAUGGAGAGAAUAAUGUCUGUACAUCAGAAAUUUGUAUGAAAUACUUGUUUCAGACUCGAAAACAGAGAAAAAGAAGAACCUUCUCCAUUUUCCUAUGCCCUAAUUUUCUGGACUAUUAGAGCAUUUAGGGUCUUUGUGGUUUUUGAGAUAUAGUUGGAAUGGACAUUUUGCUGAAACCUGUAAACCCUGGUUAAUAAUAUGACACAGUUGAAGGUAAAGUCUAAACCCACUUGUAACAAGCUGCGAGACUGUACGCUGGAUGACUGUAAAUUGUCGAGUCUCAACUGCCUUUUAUGGAGUUGCUGUAAAAAUUCAUUAGAUAGUCGUCUAGAGCAUAAGUCAAGUGUGAUAGCCUCUCCACUUCAUUUUCUCUGAGGCUACGUUGUUGUUAUUGUUGUUGAUAAUGUCGGCCUGCUCCACCAAAAUCUACGGUCAAGAGCUGCUGCUGCUUGUAGCUGUGAUUCUUCAUGCAUCAUAGGACUUUACAGAGUGGUGUUGCAGCGCUACUAUCAGCAAUAAGCAUUUACUAAAGAUCAAUUAAUUAUUUUUAUUAUUCCACAGUUCCACAUUUAUACCCUACAGAAUCUGGACAUCAUGGCAGAACUCAGGUUCUGGUUAAGGUUUUAGUUGCUCUGGUCUUCACUCCAGCCCAUGUCUUCCACCAUUCUUCCACUCUAUCACAUCAUCUGGUUGGAAGACUCUGAAAGAGAUCACCAUGGCUGAAGCAGUGACUAUUUACUCAACAUGCGAUUGCUAUUCUGUGUUUUCUGUCCUGUAAACACUGUUUUGUUUUGUAUUUGUAACUUUCUGAAGAAGCCCUGGUCCUGGAAAACCUCCUACACAGCUCAGUGUUUCCCUGCUGUAGCACACCUAAUUAAACUAAUCAGCUAAUUAACAUCUGCACUUAGAAAACACUAAACUGUGCAGGACACUACUACUGUAUUUUUAGGGGUUCAAGCACAAAGUGCUGAAAAAAUAUAUCUACUGUACCCAGGUGUAACAAUAGUCCACUGAGGCGAGCGUAGUGAAGAACUCAAGUGCAGCUUUUAUUUAACAAAGAGAAAUCCAAAAUACACAUAAAGACUUUUCUUGACCUGAACAGACUUGACACAAACAAACUAGACUCGAACAGACAGCAGGUUACAUCAAUACACGACAAGAGACAAUGGCUACAUGAGAGCUAUAUGUCAAACAAUGAAGGUCACAUGACACAAUCCAACCAAUGAGAACAAGACGCAUGAAAACAUGUGGGGCAAGCAACACAUGGGAAAUGGAGUCCAGAAAACAAUUGCAAGAGUCCGGGGUGGAGUGCCCUCUAGUGGAGUACAUGGGCACUGCAGCUGGCGAUCGUAACGCCAGGUGAUCACUGACACCAAGCACAUCAUGCAGGGAAACAACUGUUUAAUUUUUUUUUAAUUCACAGCAAAAUGUCUUUGCGACUUUUUACGACCUCCGCGAUGUUGAAUGGUCUGUAGUAUGCUAGGGAGUAUACGGUACUGUGCAAAAGUCUUGGCACCCCCUCCCCUUUUUUUAGUACAAACUUUGUUAUAGAUGUUUAUUUUCUGACUUCUACAUUAUUGAUUCAGUACAAAAACAUUUUAGAUUCCAAACGUUAGUUUUCCAGCACAGAAUGAAAUGUUACAGAAAAAUGUUUGUAUGUCAGUAAAGAAAGCAGCAGAUUCCAUAAGAGACACUUUUCAGAUAAAAACAGAAUGAAGGCUGCUGGGUUUCGCUGCAGAAAUAAGAAGCGAGUCGACAGUCAAAGUCUCCAGAAGAACUGUGGCUGCUUCUGCAAGAUGCUCAGUAACACUUCCAGCUCAUUUCCUUAUAAAACUGCACACACUGCACCUCAGAUACUGCUUUAUUUAUUUAAAGUGAAGGAUCGUCACAUUAAAUACUGACUUUGUUUCAUUUAUUACUGUUUACUGCUCUUUAUAGGAUUUUUUUAAAUGUAGAAACAUUUAGUUUCAUUAUUUUUGAAGGCAUCUUUGCUCUAGAGAAUUUCUUUGCAUGUGCCUAAGACUUUUGCACAGUACUGUAUAUUGCAGCUAGAUACCAAAACUCUCAAUGGUCACUUAGUGUUGGCUCUAAAAAAAGUGUUGCACAGCAUUAAAAUGAUUCUGCAAUAAAAUUCUUAUCCAUACUGAUCUUUCCCUUUCCAUGACUGAGCUAGGUCAAAGCUCCUGUUAUCAUGGAGGCUCUGUGAAGUUCAAACAUAACUUUAUACCUAUCAUUUACGUAUAAUAUUUAUCAAUAACGAUGAUAAAAUAAGCUAGAAAGUUGUGUAACAACACUUUUGGUUGAUUAUUUGCAUUAGGUUUUUUGUUUAUUUAUAGCUCUACAUAUCUAGUUGUCAACCUUCUUCAGUGAAACUGAGUUAGCUAAUUAGCUGCUUAGCUGGAAGACACUACUCGUUUUGUCGACCUGAUUUUGGAAAAGAAUUUUGUUGCUGUUACUUGGAGAGACUGAGAAUGAAACAUUAGUCCAGACCAGCAGCUGAACCAGACAAAACAGAACACACAACAAAUGCAUACUUCACUAGCAGACACCUGAGCUUCACCUGUUUUAAACAUCACCAGGCACCGGGCGUGGCACUAGGGCUGGGCUACCAGGGCUUAAACCCCGAAUGUUUUCAGUAAAGCCCUGAAUGUUUUUAUUACCUUCACUUGUACUCAUCAGUGCAGUAAAAUCAUAUCCAUUAGAACUACAGAUCUGCUUUUUACCUGCGUUGUCAUUCACUCCUAAUAAGAACCGCUCACUGAGUCUAGAAGUAAUGACCGACAUGUGAGCUGGCCAACCAUCAUAAAGAAGUUACAUACGAUCCAUCCAGUGAGAUUAGAACUUUGGGAUUUAAUGAUCUUGAUUGCCUCAGAGAAAUGGUUCACAGGUGAGCAUGAAGAAAAUCAAAAUAUUUGUAUGACAUUUAAAAUCUUUAAAGAAAAAUCCCAUCUGUUAUAAAGCAUUUUUGUCACUGAACAGCCCUGUCACCGCUGAGCGACAGACAGAUUUUAUCAUGUUAUUUUUUUUGUGGUGUAACCCCCUAGAGUUUUAUACUGUUCUAUACUGACGUUCAGUGCAGUACCAUAGUUUCCCUGUAGGAGUCGCUGUAUGAGCUCGUUAGCUGAGACGUAGAGAUUAGGAGACUCUUCGCAGCUGGUGCGCACGAGUAUGUUCAUGGGUUUCAAAAGAAUUAUUGAGAAGUUAUUUCUCCGAAUCUGGAGAGUUUCUGUGUUAACCGAAAUGUGGAGUUGAUGUGUUUUAAUUGAUUAGUGAUCGAAGAAAAAAAAUAGUAUAUAUGUUAUAGUGUACAAGGAAAAAAAAACAGUCAGAGUUAAAAGAUGUUUAUUGAAUGUUUUUUUGUAUUUCAGUACACUUUUUGCAACCGGAGAUCAGGGAAACGAUUAGAUUUUAUUCUUGUUAAAUUUAUUUUAUGAUGUUCCCUGUAUACAUAUGGAAGGAAAAAAAUGAUUUAUACAUGAAAGUGAGUAUUCUGAGAUGCAGAUAAUCAAUCUGUGUGUUAGACAGAGAUUUAUUCUCAUGUGUGCUCACAUGUGUGAGUGAAGCUUGUGAGUGAUGCUUCCAACAAUUUAUUUACUCGUAUGGAGUUUGUGACAAUGUGAAUCUUAAGACAUGUUAACUCUGAAUUGUGUUGUUCUGUGUAGACUGUUUUGUUGCUGUUGCCUGAUUCCAUCCUGUGACAUGAUCAGCUGUGAGUUUAUGUGAGUAUAGUGAGCUAUGGCGAGCCAGACCCUGUGAUUCUGUGAGGGACCUACUGCUGACGUUCAAAUCGGACCAGUCUGCGUCGUGGGAUUCUUUUCAGUUACAGCUAAUGUCGAGUUCACACUGCACGGUUUUAGCCCGACUUUUCACUCGCUGACAGGUUUUGCGAAAUCGCCGACAGAUGCCUGAAAUCGGAGGCAAGUCGGUACGUGUGAAUGAUCAAAGACGCGAUCUGAGAGAAUCACAGAUGUGUCGCCGACGCUCGUGAAAUAUUUGGCAUGCUAAAUAUCUGGACCUGUCGGCGAUUCAGAAUCCUGCUGUGUGAAAUGAUCUGACUGAAACUAACAUCGGCGAUGACCUCCAGCUAAUGUCGUGCAGUGUGAAAACCACGAUGAUCCGACGACUUUGAAAAUCGUGCAGUGUGAACUCGGCAUAAGCUGUUACUUUACACACAUACACACACACACUACCCGGGUAGUAGGAUAAAACAAGGCUUUAUACAUACAUUCAUUUUGCACUACACACACACACACACCAACUUAUGAAGGAAUCAGGAGGACUUUUGGACACUAAUUAUUUUUAAUUUUUUUCUUUUCCCUCUCUCUCUGCUUUCUGGGACCUGUUAUUCACAACCUGGACUAAAUAUUGAAUUUUUCCCACUCCAGCAGUGUUGUGUUGGGACAAAUACAGCAAAAUAUUAAUUUGUUUUUUCUAUUUUUUUUUUUGUUCUUGUUAUAUGUGCAAUAAAUGUGCUGGCUGUUAGCUGCUUCAUA